ACUGCUUGGGAAAAGAAAGCUUCUAGCGCCUGCUUAGAGGGGUGAAGUUCAAGUCCCACAAUAUUGAUGGGAGAGUCAAAUUGUCUUCCCAGCUGUAACGAGUUGAAUUGUGUUCUCCCCAAAUUCAUUUGCAGGAGCACUGCUCCUACAGUGUAACUGUCAUUGGAGAUAGGAGAUUUAAACCGGCAAUGAAAUUAAAGGGAGCCUGUUAGGCUCUGAUCCAAUUUGAUGAGUGACUUAUAAGAAGAGGCAAUUAGGACACACAGAGGAAGGGAGAGCAGGGAGGCAAGCACACAGAGGAAAAGCCUGAGGGGACACAUUGAGAAAAGAGCUACCUGGAAGCCAAAGAAAAGCCGCAGCAAAGGAGCCUGCCAAUUCCUAGCCUCUUGGGGUCAGAAGCUUGUAGAGAGCAUCUCUGCUACCUACCACGAUUCCUAUAGCCUCUGAGUGAAAACUCACUGAGAGCAGAGCUGGUCACAUGCCCACUUCUACUUUUCAACCAACUGCCCACCUGCGACUCUUCUUGAUUUUCUUCCCUUGAUUAUUUCAUUCUGAGACAAGAAACUUGACACUGAUGCCACUCAGAAGAGCAGAGAGCGAAAACUGCUUUACAUUUUUAAUUUUGAAGCAUCAUGCACCACCAGAAAUAGCAAACAGAACAGGUUCAGUUACAAGAAGAGUGAGGAACACACCACAUAGCAGCAGCCUACAGAGAGGAAAGGCAGAUGCCAGAGAGGGAAGAAAUUCACGGGCACUUUUCCCAGCCAAGUCUCAGCCCUGCACGGAAGGAGCAUCUGUUUGUAAAGCCACUGACAGGGAAAGAGACAAAGAGAAAGGUGGAAUAAAGAAAUAAAGGCGAGAUCUAUAAAUUACAACUGUAAGCCCAGCUUCUUUACCUCUCACUCUGAGACAAACACUAGUAUGCUCGGUCACAUGACCAUCCCAGAAAAAGACAAUGGGAACACAAGUGACUUCAGCUCCUAUGUUACACAACCCCAUCUCUCUGGCAAAAGGAUUUUUUUUUAUUUUAUUUUAUAAUGGUUUACCAUCCAUAGGCUAUUAGACAUGUAAGUAAUUUUGGAGAUUUUCCUAGAAAUCUAAACUCACUAUUUUACUGCACCCAGUUGUACACAGGAGUGUAAGCUUGCCAUUUCUGCAUUUGUGUUUGAGCAAGAUUUUCAUUAAAGUACAGCAUACUUAGACAAAUGCACAUGGAUCAUAAAUAUAUAGCUUAGUUUUCAACAUGCAAAGUACAUAUAUUGAACUCAGCUUGAAAAGAAAAAUGUUCCAUUAACCACCAACUCACCCAUUGUGCUCCGUUUAUGGAACACCUACGAGAAUGGCUGAAAUGAAAAAGACAAGAGAGACCACUGUCUGGACUCCUGAGUGGACAGACCAAUUUCAUCUGCUCCUGAUAUUUAUGCUUCCCUUUCCUCUUUCUUCUCAUGAAAGCUGGGCAUGAUGAACCUUCUGGUUCAUCAUUUUGUCUGCCACUCAAUUAGACAUCACUUUCAAACAGGUGAUUCCUUCUACCAACUAACAUUACCUUCAUUGUUUGGGAUUAAAGGUGUGUAUUCAGGACUAUCAGUAUUCCAGCCAGAGGGAUUAAAGGUGUGUGCUAAAACUGAGCCACACCAAACUAGAAACAGCUUUUCUCAGUAAACAACACAAAUCUCCGGGUUCACAGUGUGAUCAAAUAUCCUGCAACAACCAGUCAAGCCCCUUCCCCUUCAUUCCUUACCAGAUCUUGUUUCAGUCUUUAGUUUCCCAGUCAUUCAGGAAACUGUUCAAUGCCCAUUCAGGAAAGCUUGCAGUGAUUACUCAUGGAUAUGAUACGUGCUUAUCCUUUACAGGUGAGCCUGGAACAGAGUACAGAAACCACUGGCACUGAGUUGUCACUGGACAAUUUCCUCCUAGCUGUGUAAGAGGUGUAAUAGCCAUGAUUCUAGCUUUGAUAGAAGAGGUGUGGGAUUUCUUUAAAUCUCUUUAUUUUCUUCCCAAGUGGAGUGUCCUUGCAUGUUUAUCCAUUUUCUUUCUGAAAAUAGCUAUGAACUCUCAGCCAGGUCAAUGUAUAUUACAUAGGCAGGUUGCAGCUUAUUCCAGCGCUCUCAUUACCACCAAGCACAGUUAAUCAACUGCACA